rnacentral:tRNA from 2 species
GGAGCCGUAGUUCAGUUGGUUAGAACGCUUGCCUGUCACGCAAGAGGCCGUGGGUUCAAGUCCCAUCGGUUCCG